GACGAACGCUGGCGGCGUGCUUAACACAUGCAAGUCGAGCGAUGAAGCACCUUCGGGUGUGAAUUAGCGGCGAACGGGUGAGGAACACGCGAGCAAUCUGCCUUCAACUCUGGGAUAACUCCGGGAAACCGGGGCUAAUACCGGCUCUGAGCCUUGAUCGCAUGAUCGGGGCUGGCAAGUUCUUCGGGUGAAGAUGAUCCCGCGGCCUAUCAGCUUGUUGGUGAGGUAGUGGCUGACCAAGGCGACGACGGGUAGCCGGCCUGAGAGGGCGACCGGCCACACUGGGACUGAGACACGGCCCAGACUCCUACGGGAGGCAGCAGUGGGGAAUAUUGGGCAAUGGAGGAAACUCUGACCCAGCGACGCCGCGUGAGGGAUGAAGGCCUUCGGGUCGUAAACCUCUUUCAGUAGGGAAGAAGCGAAAGUGACGGUACCUACAGAAGAAGCACCGGCUAACUAUGUGCCAGCCGCCGCCGUAA
rnacentral:rRNA from 1 species